GAAAAAAAAAAUCAAGUUAAAAAGACUUAUCAUGUAAUUUCGCACCCAAACAUGGUCUAGAAAAGAAACUAUUGAGAUAGGCCUACCCUUAACUGUUUUUUCAGAGUGGCUGCCCUUAUGCAUAAAUCCUGCAACAUCUUGGUUGCAAGCCCAAUAGUUUACAAUAUUGCACUGACAUAAAUGGCCAGGUAAAAUCCUUUUAUCUGUUUUUCCACACAUUUUAGACCGUAACCGUCAGUGACAGAACGAUUAGGCUGAAGCAAAACAGCUUUUAAACACAUACAUUCAGAUUCAGAUAACAAGUUAGUAUGCAAAUUUGUAUUAAUGAAAAUUUAGAACAUAAAACUGAAACCACCCACUUGAUGUGUUGAACUUGGUUCCUGAUUAAUGCAUUAAGCAUAGCAUACAUGACCAAGGAUUCCCUAUGCAUCAUAAAAAUUGCUUUU
rnacentral:misc_RNA from 1 species